AAUAUUGGACAAUGGGGGCAACCCUGAUCCAGCCAUGCCGCGUGUGUGAAGAAGGUCUUCGGAUUGUACACCACUUUACUUUGGGCGGCAGGGCUUUAGGCUAAUACCCUGCAGCUUUGACGUUCCCAACUGAACAAUCCCCGGCUAACUCUGCGCCAGCAGCCGCGGUAAUACAGAGGGUGCAAGCGUUAAUCGGAAUUACUGGGCGUAAAGCGCGCGUAGGUGGUUCAGUAAGAUGGGUGUGAAAUCCCCGGGCUUAACCUGGGAACUGCUUUCAUAACUGCUGAGCUAGAGUACGGUAGAGGGUAGUGGAAUUUCCUGUGUAGCGGUGGAAUGCGUAGAUAUAGGAAGGAACACCAGUGACGAAGGCGACUACCUGGACUGAUACUGACACUGAGGUGCGAAAGCGUGGGGAGCAAACAG
rnacentral:rRNA from 1 species